rnacentral:rRNA from 1 species
UGGGGAAUAUUGGACAAUGGGCGCAAGCCUGAUCCAGCCAUACCGCGUGGGUGAAGAAGGCCUUCGGGUUGUAAAGCCCUUUUGUUGGGAAAGAAAUCCAGCCGGCUAAUACCUGGUUGGGAUGACGGUACCCAAAGAAUAAGCACCGGCUAACUUCGUGCCAGCAGCCGCGGUAAUACGAAGGGUGCAAGCGUUACUCGGAAUUACUGGGCGUAAAGCGUGCGUAGGUGGUUAUUUAAGUCCGUUGUGAAAGCCCUGGGCUCAACCUGGGAACUGCAGUGGAUACUGGAUGACUAGAAUGUGGUAGAGGGUAGCGGAAUUCCUGGUGUAGCAGUGAAAUGCGUAGAGAUCAGGAGGAACAUCCAUGGCGAAGGCAGCUACCUGGACCAACAUGGACACUGAGGCACGAAAGCGUGGGGAGCAAACA